GCGCCGGUGGUGUAAGGCGAACAUCGCUGCCCGGAAAGCAGAAAAUGCGGGUUCGAGUCCCGCCUGACGCA
rnacentral:tRNA from 1 species